rnacentral:rRNA from 1 species
UGCAGUCGAACGGUAACAUUUCUAGCUUGCUAGAAGAUGACGAGUGGCGGACGGGUGAGUAAUGCUUGGGAACUUGCCUUUAGGAGGGGGAUAACAGUUGGAAACGACUGCUAAUACCGCAUAAUGUCUACGGACCAAAGGGGGCUUCGGCUCUCACCUAAAGAGAGGCCCAAGUGAGAUUAGCUAGUUGGUAAGGUAAAAGCUUACCAAGGCGACGAUCUCUAGCUGUUCUGAGAGGAAGAUCAGCCACACUGGGACUGAGACACGGCCCAGACUCCUACGGGAGGCAGCAGUGGGGAAUAUUGCACAAUGGGGGAAACCCUGAUGCAGCCAUGCCGCGUGUGUGAAGAAGGCCUUCGGGUUGUAAAGCACUUUCAGUUGUGAGGAAAGGUUGGUAGUUAAUACCUGCCAGCUGUGACGUUAACAACAGAAGAAGCACCGGCUAACUCCGUGCCAGCAGCCGCGGUAAUACGGAGGGUGCGAGCGUUAAUCGGAAUUACUGGGCGUAAAGCGCACGCAGGCGGUUUGUUAAGCUAGAUGUGAAAGCCCCGGGCUCAACCUGGGAUGGUCAUUUAGAACUGGCAGACUAGAGUCUUGGAGAGGGGAGUGGAAUUCCAGGUGUAGCGGUGAAAUGCGUAGAUAUCUGGAGGAACAUCAGUGGCGAAGGCGGCUCCCUGGCCAAAGACUGACGCUCAUGUGCGAAAGUGUGGGUAGCGAACAGGAUUAGAUACCCUGGUAGUCCACACCGUAAACGCUGUCUACUAGCUGUUUGUGAAUUUAAUUCGUGAGUAGCGAAGCUAACGCGAUAAGUAGACCGCCUGGGGAGUACGGCCGCAAGGUUAAAACUCAAAUGAAUUGACGGGGGCCCGCACAAGCGGUGGAGCAUGUGGUUUAAUUCGAUGCAACGCGAAGAACCUUACCUACACUUGACAUGCAGAGAACUUUCCAGAGAUGGAUUGGUGCCUUCGGGAACUCUGA